GGGGAGUUAGCUGAGUGGUUUAGCGAUAAAUUUACACUUUAUUGACAGAGUUUCGAUUACUCUACUCCCUA
rnacentral:tRNA from 2 species